GAUGAACGCUGGCGGCGUGCCUAAUACAUGCAAGUCGAGCGAACGGACGAGAAGCUUGCUUCUCUGAUGUUAGCGGCGGACGGGUGAGUAACACGUGGAUAACCUACCUAUAAGACUGGGAUAACUUCGGGAAACCGGAGCUAAUACCGGAUAAUAUUUUGAACCGCAUGGUUCAAAAGUGAAAGACGGUCUUGCUGUCACUUAUAGAUGGAUCCGCGCUGCAUUAGCUAGUUGGUAAGGUAACGGCUUACCAAGGCAACGAUGCAUAGCCGACCUGAGAGGGUGAUCGACCACACUGGAACUGAGACACGGUCCAGACGCCUACGGGAGGCAGCAGUAGGGGAUCUUCCGCAAUGGGCGAAAGCCUGACGGAGCAGCGCCGCGUGGGUGAUGAAGGUCUUCGGAUCGUAAAACUCUGUUAUUGGGGAAGAACAAAUGUGUAAGUAACUGUGCACAUCUUGACGGUACCUAAUCAGAAAGCCACGGCUAACUACGUG
rnacentral:rRNA from 1 species